GAUGAAGAACGUAGCGAAAUGCGAUACGUAAUGUGAAUUUCAGAAUUCAGUGAAUCAUCGAGUCUUUGAACGCACAUUGCGCCCCCUGGUAUUCCGGGGGGCAUGCCUGUCCGAGCGUCAUUGCUGCCCUCAAGCACGGCUUGUGUGUUGGGCCUCCGUCCUCCUCCCGGGGGACGGGCCCGAAAGGCAGCGGCGGCACCGCGUCCGGUCCUCGAGCGUAUGGGGCUUCGUCACCCGCUCUUGUAGGCCCGGCCGGCGCUUGCCGACACAUCAAUCUUUUUUCCAGGUUGACCUCGGAUCAGGUAGGGAUACCCGCUGAACUUAAGCAUAUCAAUAAGCGGAGGA
rnacentral:misc_RNA from 1 species